UAGGGAAUCUUCCACAAUGGACGCAAGUCUGAUGGAGCAACGCCGCGUGAGUGAAGAAGGUCUUCGGAUCGUAAAACUCUGUUGUUAGAGAAGAACACGAGUGAGAGUAACUGUUCAUUCGAUGACGGUAUCUAACCAGCAAGUCACGGCUAACUACGUGACCAG
rnacentral:rRNA from 1 species